CUCUCCCCCCGUGAACACUGUGGAUACAUCAGAGAAAGAGAAAACGGUGCAGAUCAGAUGUAUCUACAAGAAGGCCAGACUUGGGCGGGAGAAGCGAGAGGUGACGUAUGUUGUCUCCAAACGAGGUGGGAGCUCUGGUGGGGUGCGUAGACCCACCGGGGUGAAGGGGAAGUACAAGGUGGUCGACUCACGGAUGAAGAAGGAUCUCCGACGGAAAGGGGGGAAGGGGCGGCAGAAGGGGCGGAAGUAGAGCAUUCUCUCUCUCUUGAAGUAUUUUGUACAUCAUCAGUUUUGGAAUAAAAGUUUGGCGAUAUUUCAAAUCAA